rnacentral:rRNA from 1 species
AUGCCAGCUCAAAUAAUGCAAGCUGAUUUUCCUUCAGUUACUGUUGGGCCAGCUCUGGGACUUAAAGCCAAUAUCAUUGUGGACCUCAACUUGGAGCCUGAGCAGAUUGUUGCCACUCUCGUUGAAGAAGAUAACUCUUUCUUUACUCUGAACUUGGCUGAUGGAGAUGCCCAUGUCAUCCAACUUGUUGACCAUACUUAUGUUCCUGCUCUUGGGGAAAUUCAGUCUAAAGAAAGUGAAGAUGUGGAUGAGGAGAUUGAGAUAGAUGAAGCUCCAGAGAUUUGCUCCAAAACUUCUACUCAGCCACACAACUAUGCUUCUUCACAAUCAGGUUCUAAUUAUAGUUGCUCACCUCAUCUUGGGUAUUCUGUCAAAGGCAAAUAUAAUACAGGUGGCCCACUCAUGAAUGUUUCAGCUUCUCCUAGCAUUGUUGUUUCAAGUUUGGAAGCUUGGAAGAAGUUUUUUGCUCCUGCUACUGAUGUUGCUCUGCCUGUCAUUACGGUAUCUCUAGACUGGGUUAACUUUAUUUGCUCCAUUAUGUUAACUGCAGAUAGUUUUGAGUGGGCAAAAUCUUUUCUACAAUCUUCAAUGGGGCAAAUCAUACAGAAAGGAAAUAUCUGCAAGGAACAUCUUGAUUUUGUCAUUCCUGUUACCUGUCCUGUUAACCAGCCGCCUCUGUGUGCUCAGGAGGCUUCUGAGAGUAGCAGGAGCCCUGUCUCCACCCCUGCUAAAGAUGGAGAAUCUUCAACCCCUGUGGAGCAGCAGCUCAAAGGCAAGAGAAAGGAACGACCCCCUGUGGUUGAAUCUGAGGUAAGAAGGAGUGAGAGGCUGCUGCAUAUUAAUAAAGGAUUCAAAAAGAAAACCUGUCAAGAUGCUAAUUGUAUGGCCUGUCUUGCCCAGCCUCCUGCUUGCAAUAACAAAGUCAUUAAAAAUUUAAACAUCUCUUAUUGCAAGGUUGAUGCCAAGAACUGCAUAGAAGAAAUUCUUCAGAAGAAAAAAGUGAAGAAAGGAGGGAAGCAACCAGUAUGGAAGGACUAG